rnacentral:rRNA from 1 species
UACGAAGGGGGCUAGCGUUGUUCGGAAUCACUGGGCGUAAAGAGCUCGUAGGCGGUUUGUUGCGUCUGCUGUGAAAACCCGAGGCUCAACCUCGGGCCUGCAGUGGGUACGGGCAAACUAGAGUGCGGUAGGGGAGAUUGGAAUUCCUGGUGUAGCGGUGGAAUGCGCAGAUAUCAGGAGGAACACCGAUGGCGAAGGCAGAUCUCUGGGCCGUAACUGACGCUGAGGAGCGAAAGCGUGGGGAGCGAACAGG